rnacentral:rRNA from 1 species
AAGGGCACCACAAGAACGCGUGGAGCAUGUGGCUUAAUUUGACUCAACGCGGGAAAUCUUACCGGGUCCGGACAAACUGAGGAUUGACAGGUAAUUUAUGAUUAGUAAUUACUCUUACAUAGUACUGCUAGCCCUUUCAUAAUAGUAUGUUAUGUGGUACAUGGCCGUUCUUAGUUCGUGGAGUGAUUUGUCUGCUCAAUUGCGUUUUUGUGUAGAAUUUAAAUUACAGUUGUCAUUAUUUAUACGAAUGAUUUAUAUUUUUUAUAUUUUUGUUUUUAUGAAUAAUGUUGAUUAUUAAAUUCUCAAAGCAACGAACGUGACCGCUACUUCUUGUUUUUAAAAUUAACUAGUAUUUAUUAUAUUUAGUUGUAUAAAACUCGAGGGACUGCUGUGUUUUUAUAAACCAGAGGAAGACGCGGCAAUAACAGGUCUGUGAUGCCCUUAGAUGUUCCGGGCUGCACACGUGCUACAAUGAUUAUUGCAGUGAGCAUCUCAUUUAUUAUUUCUGUUUUAUUAAUUGUUAUUCUUCAAAAAUAAUUGGUUAAUAUGAACAGUGAGACUUGCUUCGAGAGAUUGCAAGUAAGCAUUUUAAAGUAAUGAUUUCCUUAAUUCAAAUUUUAGUUUGAUUUUAUAAACACACAAUAUACUACAUCUUUCUUGAUCAUUAAAAUGUUUUCAUUUUUCUGUUAUACAUUAAGAAGUUGAUGUUUAGUAUGUGUUUUUUGUUAAUUCAUGGUGGGGACAGACCAUUGUAAAUUAUUGGUCUCGGUCUUAACUAGGAAUGCCUUGUACGGGUUUUUGGUUCAACAAACCACCCGGAAUACGUCCCUGCCCUUUGUACACACCGCCCGUC